GGUGGGGUUCGGGAGUGGUUUAACCGGCCUGUCUUGAAAACAGGUGUCCCUCACGGGACCGAGAGUUCGAAUCUCUCCCCCACCG
rnacentral:tRNA from 1 species